rnacentral:rRNA from 1 species
CAGCCGCCGCGGGAAUACGGAGGGUGCAAGCGUUAAUCGGAAUUACUGGGCGUAAAGCGCACGCAGGCGGUCUGUCAAGUCGGAUGUGAAAUCCCCGGGCUCAACCUGGGAACUGCAUCCGAAACUGGCAGGCUAGAGUCUUGUAGAGGGGGGUAGAAUUCCAGGUGUAGCGGUGAAAUGCGUAGAGAUCUGGAGGAAUACCGGUGGCGAAGGCGGCCCCCUGGACAAAGACUGACGCUCAGGUGCGAAAGCGUGGGGAGCAAACAGGAUUAGAUACCCGCGUAGUCCCUGUCUCUUAUAC